rnacentral:lncRNA from 1 species
GAACAACCACUGAAGAUUGAAGAGGUGCAUGAUCAGAAGUCGGAAUCUGAGGUGGAGAUAAAAGAUCCCGCAGUGGCCAAUGUUGAUGGAAUCGGGCAAUUUACCAGGAGUGGUAGGCUGUUCUCACCACCCGUCACCCAAACUGAUAAUGUUGAUGCCGCGGCGAAAGCCAAAGGCAAACAAGCUGUGAAUGAGGGUACCUCUG